AGGGCAGGCCGGGCAAUCGCGGUAGGCAUCAGUCUAUCGAGGAAGGUCUGGACUCCAAUGGGCAGGAUAGCGGCUAACAGCCGUCCGGCGAACCCUUCUUCGGGAGGGCCGAGCCGAGGAACAGGGCCACAGAGACGAGUCUGCCGGAAGGGCGCGUGCGCACAGGUACGGCCACUCCGUACUUCGGCUGCUUUCGGGCAGCCGGUCCGGCAGGGUGAAACGCGGUAACCUCUAUCUGGAGCAACACCAAAUAGGCAUGCAUCCUGGCAACAGGGCGGACGGCCCGUCCGGCAUGCGGGUAGGUGGCUAGAGCACGGCGGCAACGCCGUGCCAAGAUGAAUGAUUGCCAGCCGGGCAACCGGCUUACAGAAUCCGGCCUACAGGCCUGCCCUGCAU
rnacentral:RNase_P_RNA from 1 species